ensembl:lncRNA PLCB2-AS1 PLCB2 antisense RNA 1
AUUUAUGAUUUCAUUUACUUUACCACCAGAAUAGGCAAAUCUAUAGAAAUAGAAAUGAAAAGUACAUUUGUGGUAUUCAGGGAUUCUGCACCUUUGCAUUCCUUCCCCCCCCAAAAAAAACAUUAAAUGUCUUUCAGAAUCACACUGGAAGGCCAACAUCAGUCUUAGUUUGGAGCAGAGGGUCUGAGCAGGAGAGUCUAACUGGAUCUCCCCAAACCCCUCCCUGUCUCUGGAGCUUCAGCUCCAAGCAAAGUUGGGUCAGUAGCCUCUACUGAGACACAAGGAAAGCAGAUAGAUAAGGAGGACUUAGCCAAGGGAGGAGCUCAGGCAGCAGGAGAGAGGGAGGGUGGAUGUGUGCUGAAAACAUUCACGCUCAGCUCCCAUUCCCAACACUAGACUGGGAAUGCAUGCCGUUUCUGCUGCCUGCCCUGAACACAGUCCAUCAACCACAGCCCCAGCGCCCCCACCACCCAGGGUAGGGGAUACAGACAAACCUGCUUGGAGCUCAGGGUCUCACUCCCUUGCCCUGGCUCCACCCCUGUGCCUAGUGUCAGUAACCAGCAGCUCC